UACGGAGGGUGCAAGCGUUAUCCGGAUUUACUGGGUUUAAAGGGUGCGUAGGUGGGUAGGAAAGUCAGUGGUGAAAUCUUCGGGCUUAACCCGGAAACUGCCAUUGAUACUAUUUAUCUUGAAUACUCUGGAGGUAAGCGGAAUAUGUCAUGUAGCGGUGAAAUGCUUAGAUAUGACAUAGAACACCAAUUGCGAAGGCAGCUUACUACAUAGUUAUUGACACUGAGGCACGAAAGCGUGGGGAGCGAACAGG
rnacentral:rRNA from 1 species